GACGAACGCUGGCGGCGUGCUUAACACAUGCAAGUCGAACGGAAAGGCCCUGCUUUCGUGGGGUGCUCGAGUGGCGAACGGGUGAGUAACACGUGAGUAACCUGCCCUUGACUUUGGGAUGACUUCAGAAAACUGGUUCUAAUACCGGAUAGGAGCUCCUGCUGCAGGGGGGGGGUUAGAAAUUUUGGGUGGUUGUGGGUGGACGGUGGGGUUAACAGCUUGUUGGGUGGUGAGUGGCUUACCCAGCGUUUGGCGGGUGGCCGGCCUGAGAGGUUGACCGGCGACAUUGGUCCUGGGAUAGGGCCCAGAGUCCAACGGGGGGCAGUAGUGGGGAAUAUUGACCAAUGGGGCGAAGCGUGAGGAAGAAACGCCGCGUGCGGGAUGACGGCUUUGGGGUGGUAAACCGCUUUAGGAUGUGACGAAGCGUGUGUGACGGUACCGGGUGAAGAAGCACCGGCUAACUACGUG
rnacentral:rRNA from 1 species